rnacentral:rRNA from 1 species
UACAGAGGGUGCGAGCGUUAAUCGGAAUUACUGGGCGUAAAGCGUGCGUAGACGGUUAUUUAAGUCGGGUGUGAAAGCCCCGGGCUCAACCUGGGAAGUGCACUCGAAACUGCUUCGCUUGAGUACUGGAGAGGGUAGUGGAAUUCUCGGUGUAGAGGUGAAAUUCGUAGAUAUCGAGAGGAACAUCGGUGGCGAAGGCGGCUACCUGGACAGUUACUGACGCUGAGACGCGAAAGCGUGGGGAGCAAACAGG